UACGUAGGGUGCAAGCGUUGUCCGGAAUUAUUGGGCGUAAAGAGCUCGUAGGCGGUUUGUCGCGUCUGCUGUGAAAACUCGGGGCUUAACUCCGGGCCUGCAGUGGGUACGGGCAGACUAGAGUGCGGUAGGGGAGACUGGAAUUCCUGGUGUAGCGGUGAAAUGCGUAGAUAUCUGGAGGAACACCGGUGGCGAAGGCGGCAUCCUGGACCGGCAUUGACGCUGAGGCGCGAAAGCCAGGGGAGCAAACGGG
rnacentral:rRNA from 1 species